UACGGAGGGUGCAAGCGUUAUCCGGAUUCACUGGGUCUAAAGGGUGCGUAGGUGGGCAGGUAAGUCAGUGGUGAAAUCCCCGAGCUUAACUUGGGAACUGCCAUUGAUACUAUCUUUCUUGAAUACCUUGGAGGUGAGCGGAAUAUGUCAUGUAGCGGUGAAAUGCUUAGAUAUGACAUAGAACACCAAUUGCGAAGGCAGCUCACUACACGGUCAUUGACACUGAGGCACGAAAGCGUGGGGAUCAAACAGG
rnacentral:rRNA from 1 species